AUUCGCGCAUUCUUUAGUUUUAGACUCCGAUUUGAAUAUUUGUUGAAAAAGCUAACUUUGUAAUAAUUUAAUUAACAGUAAGUUAAAAAGCAACUUAAAAGUUGAUAAGUCGUUGCUAAAAUACUUAAUGAAUGCUUUUUUAAAUCAUGCGACUAUUGUACAACUCUGUUUACAUUUUCCAACUGUACCAACCAUUAGGGUUCCCUCCCUCGUAUCUUGUAAAAAAAGCUCCAGAAGUUUCAUCCAAACUCCAAAUCUAACCAUCAUGAAUUAGUCUAGAGAGUAUUGUGCCUUUUUUAGAACAUUUUUGUUUUUGUUUAAAUGAACUAUUUUCUCUGUACAGUGAA